CUGAAGAAGAAGUCCUGGUCGCGUGAACUAAGAGUCCACUAGCUACUUGGCCAGCUCUGUCGGGGUUGCCUCGGAAAAUUCGAAACUGCCACCACCUACUUGAAAAAUUAUCUUAUCUACUUUUCGGACAAUAUGUAUAGGUUCGGCUCUGGCAGGACGAAUCUGUAAAUCCUCUCCUGCUCAAGGUCUCACGCCAUGGAAGUGACAGGACAUGCUCCUGUUGGAGCAUUGUUGUUGGCUAUGGACGCUGUUGAAAGAGAUGCGAUCAGCUACUGGGCUCGUAGAUUCAUGUCUCUCUUGGUACAAGCAAACGAGAUCGUCAAAUUAGGACUCGAGAACUUCACGACGUUGCUGAGAAGAACACAAAGCUCUGCUGCGACUGCGCAAAACGACGGCAGCGCUGAAACGCAACACGGUAGCAACGGGGAACCCUCUACCGUUACGAAGGACACCAGCAGAAGCACGACCAGUUUAGGUUCCGCGACGGAUAAGUUGUCCGAGAAACCGUCUCGCAUCCCACGUGCGGCAGACAUGGUGCAUCUCCCAGAGGUAAACGGCGACAACGAACCUAACGUGAGAAGACGACGCCUUCCAGGCGGUUCGACGCAAAUUAAGGGGCACAGAUCUAGAAUCCCUCGGCUACAGGCACUCUCUCCUGUGGGGGUCCCUCACAGUGGCAGAGGAGGCUCGCAAGCCGCUCAUUCUACGGCCUCGUUUCCCUCCACGCAGUGAAGGCCCGUGCGUGACUGGACGGAUAUGUCACCGGCCGACGUCUCCGUUGGAGGUGCUCAUCUCAACAACGUUGUUCGUUGAGCGGCAUAUAACGCUGCCGCAAAUAAAGAAAAAUGGUCCCCA